GAAGAAGCCGCAAGGUGACGGUACCUGCAGAAGAAGCGCCGGCUAACUACGUGCCAGCAGCCGCGGUAAUACGUAGGGCGCAAGCGUUAUCCGGAAUUAUUGGGCGUAAAGAGCUCGUAGGCGGUUUGUCGCGUCUGCCGUGAAAGUCCGGGGCUCAACUCCGGAUCUGCGGUGGGUACGGGCAGACUAGAGUGAUGUAGGGGAGACUGGAAUUCCUGGUGUAGCGGUGAAAUGCGCAGAUAUCAGGAGGAACACCGAUGGCGAAGGCAGGUCUCUGGGCAUUAACUGACGCUGAGGAGCGAAAGCAUGGGGAGCGAACAGGAUUAGAUACCCUGGUAGUCCAUGCCGUAAACGUUGGGCACUAGGUGUGGGGGACAUUCCACGUUUUCCGCGCCGUAGCUAACGCAUUAAGUGCCCCGCCUGGGGAGUACGGCCGCAAGGCUAAAACUCAAAGGAAUUGACGGGGGCCCGCACAAGCGGCGGAGCAUGCGGAUUAAUUCGAUGCAACGCGAAGAACCUUACCAAGGCUUGACAUGAACCGGUAACGCCUGGAAACAGGUGCCCCGCUUGCGGUCGGUUUACAGGUGGUGCAUGGUUGUCGUCAGCUCGUGUCGUGAGAU
rnacentral:rRNA from 1 species